GAUGAACGCUCGCGAGAGGCCUAACACAUGCAAGCCGAGCGGUAGAGUUUCUUCGGAAACUUGAGAGCGGCGCACGGGUGCGUAACACGUGUGCAACCUACCUUUAUCUGGGGGAUAGCCUUUCGAAAGGAAGAUUAAUACCCCAUAAUAUAAUGAUUGGCAUCAAUUAUUAUUGAAAACUCCGGUGGAUAGAGAUGGGCACGCGCAAGAUUAGAUAGUUGGUGAGGUAACGGCUCACCAAGUCAAUGAUCUUUAGGGGUCCUGAGAGGGAGAUCCCCCACACUGGUACUGAGACACGGACCAGACUCCUACGGGAGGCAGCAGUGAGGAAUAUUGGACAAUGGGUGAGAGCCUGAUCCAGCCAUCCCGCGUGAAGGAUGACGGUCCUAUGGAUUGUAAACUUCUUUUGUACAGGGAUAAACCUACCCUCGGGAGGGUAGCUGAAGGUACUGUACGAAUAAGCACCGGCUAACUCCGUG
rnacentral:rRNA from 1 species